UCUGCUGUCACAGCACAGAAAUAUUCCAUUGUCUGUUGAAGUACAGCUGAAGCACAGUGAGAAAGGCACCAGCACCAGGCCCUUCCAACACAGAGGAUGGUUGGAGCUCCACAGCUGCUCCUCUGUGGCCAUGCUGAGAGCCUGAGCAGUGACAGUGUAGCAUCACUUACAGACUCUGCUACAAUAUUUCCAGUCAUUCCCCUUCAUCUGUCUCAGUUCAAGUUAACUAGAGGAAAAAACCUUUUCAUGUUUGCAAUCUGGUAAGGGCUCAGGCUCAGCCAGAAGGUGCAGGUUUUACUGCCUCUCAGAAGCUGAUGGCCCCACUUGUUCAGCUCUGCACCGUGCAGGUUCUCAGGG